AGGAACAGAACCUGUUGCUACAUCUUCUGUGCAGAAAGAGAAGACUUUCUCUUCAGCUCUCUUAGCAGCUGUAGCAACAGGAACACUUUGACAGAGAUAUUCAGCCUCAAUAUCACCUCCAUCACCUCCUCCUAUGAAAGAUCAGGAUAUGGAAAUCGAAAAUGAAUGUGAAUUUUUAAUUGAUGACUCAGGUGGUGCAUCAUUUACUUCUUGGAUUUCAAUACCC